rnacentral:misc_RNA from 1 species
CACAACAUUGUGUCACCGUCUGACUGAAGAGUGAGUCUCGUUUGUUUACACUUCCUCGUACAAGACUUGUGUAAGUUUGAUGAGGCGUAGUCCUGAUUUCUGAUGAUGAUCGGUGCCCGAAGAAUCGGGUAGGCUCUGAUAACUGCAAAUCAAGGACAUGUAUGUGUAAGAGGACCGUUCUCUCAGGUUUUCAGAAUGUUUAAAAAAGCAUCCAAGCUGUUUAGCCGGACCGAUAAAGACAAAGAGAAUUCCUCAAAAGAGGUUUCAGAGGCUGAGGUGCUGGGUGUCUAUAUUGAGCCAUUCUUUUAUGGCCGCAUCACUCGUCAAGAGGCGGAGGACGUUUUGAAGGUCAAUGGGAAUGCUGAUGGCCUCUAUCUGCUGAGAGAAAGCUUCACACCAAUGGGGAACUUUUCCCUCUCUAUAUCACACAAUGGCGAGGCUAUACAUUAUGCUAUUCUGAAGCAAAUUGAUGGCAAAUUCCAGAUAUCGGACGGGGUAGCUUUCAGUGACCCAGUGUCCCUGAUCGAGCACUACAGGAGUUCCAAAAAAGGAUUUCUCACUGUUCCGAAAACCCCAUGUCUAAGAAUCCCUCCACAAGAAGCCAUUGCAUGUAGGGGGCUCAGUUAUACUGAGCUUCACUCUCGUAUGAAAACAGCUGCUCAAAAAAUGAAUGCAAAUAUAGCGAAAGCCUUUGGACCACUGCGUGAACCUCUUUUGGUUCACGUCUUAAAGACAAUUCACAAGGACAUGCCAUGGUUCCAUGGAGAAAUCUCACGAGAUGAAGGCAACAAAAGACUGGAGAUGGAUGGACAUAAAGAUGGCAAAUUCUUGAUCAGAUCACGUGCUGACGGUCAGUCAUUUGCUCUGACAAUGAGUCAUGAAUUCAAUCUUCGUCAUUAUUGUAUCCUUGUCAGUGAUGGAGAAACGUACUCAAUAGAGAAUGGAAAUAAAUUCCAAGCCCUUACCAUUCUAGUGGACCACUAUCACAACAAACGGGAUGGUCUCCCUUGCAAACUUGAAAUGCCAGUGCCCAACCCAGAUACCCGACACCGGGUUUGGAAAGAAUACCAACAACUCAGCACAGAUUUGACUCAAAAGCCAGGACACAAGCCCGAUCAGCCUGGUUCAAAAAAACCCCUACGACCCGUCCCUCCCAUCCCAUUAGACGAUUGUUUUCCCGUGUCUCCGUCAACCCCAACAGAGAAUGGGGCCUGCUUUAUUGCGCCUGGGUCUUCACCAAGUUUAGAGCGACCUCCUCCACACAAGUGUUGGGAAGAUGAGGAGGAGCUGGAGGAUCAAGAUAGUACGCAAUUUCGUAGCUUGACAGUGGAGGAAGCUGAGGAACAGGAGAAGAUCUACAGUGACAUCAGGUUGGACGUCAUGAACCGUGGCCUCAACCCAGACCAAGUGACCCUGUCAGAAAACUUGGGUUCUGGUCAGUUUGGCGAGGUCAAGAAAGGUGUGUGCAGACUGAUGGGCAAAGAUAUCCGUGUGGCUGUAAAGACUUUGAAAAAUAAUGAUCGUGAAGCUGAGUCUGAGAUCAUGAAGGAGGCAGAGCUGAUGAAGAAGCUGGAUCAUCCUCACAUCGUGCGCAUGAUAGGUGUUUGUAAAAGCAACAGCCUGAUGCUGGUGCUGGAGCUUGCUGAACUGGGCCCGUUGAAAAAGUAUCUGGAGAGACACAAAGAAAUGAGAACAUGGCACCUUCUUGAGCUGGCGACCCAGAUUUGUGACGGCAUGAGGUACUUGGAGCAGCAUGACGUGGUGCAUCGAGAUCUCGCCACCCGCAAUGUUUUGCUUCUGACAGAGCAUUUCGCCAAGAUCAGCGACUUUGGCAUGUCUCGCAUGGUGGACAGUUCAGAGUAUUACUUAGCUCACGUCCCCGGCAAAUGGCCUCUGAUGUGGUACGCCCCGGAAUGUUUGUACUAUCACAAGUUUGACACGAAGUCGGACGUUUGGAGCUUCGGUGUCACCCUGUGGGAGAUCAUGUCUUUCGGCGCUCGCCCUUAUGCUCAUAAAAAGCCACCCCAAAUUCUGGCCUUCCUUGAAGAAGGUCAUCGGAUGGCCAAGCCAAAAGAUUGUGAUGAUCGAAUCUACAACAUUAUGCUGUCCUGCUGGCAUUUUCAAAAAGAGAAACGACCAACUUUUGCGGAGCUCCAUCCCAAGCUGAACAAAUUGUUCUCGGACUUUCAAGAGCACUAAUUCUUUCAUCUGGUACGGUAUGUGACUUACCAAAUCCUGUCUGUGUUAUCCAGUACUUUGUUGGUUUCCCAUAAUCAGUUCUUGGGGUCUGUAGUGCAAACAGCCAUGAGAUCCUAAAAUGCAAAAUGGUUGAAAGGAUGCACGUUUACUGAGGUUUUUUCUUGUCUAAGUCAAGCGGCAAAUGAGGCCUUAUCAACCCUUGGACUGUGAAGACCUGAAUCAUACAGAUGAUGAGUAGAAGUAUUGUUGAGUAUGAAAGUAAUUUUAUAUACAGUAUAACACGGAUAGGUCGAACACAGAAGACUCUAAAUCACGCAUCUGUCGAACUGUGCCUUCUGUAUUGAGGUUUUUUUUUCUUUGCACGAUAUCCCUGGAACUACAGAUCCCUUGAACAAGCGAGGCCGGUCCCGACGUAUUCGAGCUGUCCAUGUUGUACUGUACUUCCCUGAUUGUAACUUACAGUAAGAAUGUGUCUAUUUGGAAGGAAAGGGUUCUGAGAGUUUUGAGAGUUUCCUCUUGAACUGAUCCAGUCAAACUUGAUUUUUUGGCUCCAAGUACUCCUAGUUCUGAAGGGGGACCGAAAUAGAACCAAAAACUGAACUUAUAUGAAGAGCUAGAGGCUUAGCUGAUAAGAGUUCAACUUAAAAUGUUUUAAGGUCACCAAUCUCUUUUAUUGCCAUAAAUUAUAGACUUACUUCAAAGGACAAAGAUUCCUGGAAAAUGACUAAAAACCUUAACAGGCAUCUUUUGGAUGUUUUAAGGUCACCAAUCUCUUUUAUUGCCAUAAAUUAUAGACUUACUUCAAAGGACAAAGAUUCCUGGAAAAUGACUAAAAACCUUAACAGGCAUCUUUUGGGUGUUUUGUGUGAUAAGAUACACAACUGUGGGACUGGUACAAAACAGUGGACAAAUUCAUCUCAUGGUUCAUAAAUUUGCACUGGUGGUCAAAUCAAGUUACAACUGUUGGGAAAAUGUGAAGGAAAGGAGUCUUAUCUGACAGUUCCUCGGGUCCUGUGCUUCAGAUCAUUUCCAAGAUUAGUUUCCCGUAUUUCUGUGAUCAGCUCACUGUUUGUACUUUGAUGAGAGGUUAUUUUGAAUUUUUGUGUUCAUAAUGAAAAAGACUUUUUGUUCACUGUUGACUGAAGAAGAUUGAGUAAUAUAUUGAGUGUUUUUCCCUCAAGUGUUCAUGUCUUCAGUGUCAUAAUAGAUUUACCUACUGUCAUCUUGAUACAAAAGCUGUCCCGAAAUUGAAGUGAAAAUGGCCAUAACUAUUAACUUGGUUAUUUAAUCUUAAUGAAAUUUCAGCAUAAUGUACUAACUUUAUUUAUCUACUUCUGAAUGUGACUCCUGCGAAAAUCGUAUCAUUCUAGAAGUGAUCUUGUGAUCUUCUGUCAAUUGUUUUGGCACCCAGUGAGCCGAAACUUUACGGUGUCCAAGCUGAUUAUGCACACUUCUAUAAACAACAAUCUUCCAAGAUGUCCAGAUCAUCAGCUGCCAGUCUUCAGAAAUCUUUCGGUCACAGAAGACUAGACAGACCAACAGUGUGAAUCAUCUGCAAGAUUUGAAUGCUCUGCCUUGAACAUGUGCGUAGAGAUAGACUUGUUUUUUGCUCAUUCCAUUUCCAUCUUUACCGUAGACAAAAAACAAGUUCAAGAUGAAUUUCAGUUUCAUUUCUCCCUUUCAUGUGCUAAAAUUUUACAAUACCUCUAGCCUCUGACCACUUUCAAUGAUGGUCUGGUAGCCAUAUUUCUUCUACCAUCACUCAUUGGUGCAUUUGAGGAUACAGACCUGCCAUGUAAUCCCAGUUGAACCCACUCAGUGCUGCUCGAUGUGCAGUAGGAAGAUGGCUCAGGACCACGCAAAGGGGAAUAAAUCCCAGUUGAAACCACUCAGUGCCGCUGGAUUUGCAGUAGGAAGAUGGCUCAGGGCCACGCAAAGGGGAAUAAAUCCAUGUUUGUGAUGUAGUAGGUAUUUUUAAAAAAUCAUUAUAGAAUAACCAAUCCAUUGAUCAAAAAAAAAUCUUGAAACGAGUUCUUCACAAAUGAAUAUAUUUUAAUUUAAAAAAUUA